UACGUAGGCAGCAAGCGUUGUUCGGAGUUACUGGGCGUAAAGGGUGCGUAGGCGGCGCGGUAAGUCGGGUGUGAAAUCUUGGAGCUUAACUCCGAAACUGCAUUCGAUACUGCCGUGCUUGAGGACUGGAGAGGAGACUGGAAUUUACGGUGUAGCGGUGAAAUGCGUAGAUAUCAGGAGGAACACCGGUGGCGAAGGCAGAUCUCUGGGCCGUAACUGACGCUGAGGAGCGAAAGCAUGGGGAGCGAACAGG
rnacentral:rRNA from 1 species